rnacentral:tRNA from 1 species
GCCGUGGUGGUGGAAUUGGUAGACACGCUACCUUGAGGUGGUAGUGCCCAUUUAGUGGCGUGCGGGUUCAAGUCCCGCCCUCGGCA